UACGUAGGGGGGCGAGCGUUGUCCGGAAUCAUUGGGCGUAAAGCGCGUGUAGGCGGUCCGGUAAGUCCGCUGUGAAAGUCGGGGGGCUCAACCCUCGGAUGCCGGUGGAUACUGUCGGGCUUGAGUACGGAAGAGGCGAGUGGAAUUCCUGGUGUAGCGGUGAAAUGCGCAGAUAUCAGGAGGAACACCGAUGGCGAAGGCAGGUCUCUGGGCGAUUUAA
rnacentral:rRNA from 1 species